rnacentral:snRNA from 1 species
AUACUUACCUGGCAGGGGAUACACCAUGGUCACAAAGGUGGCUUUCCCACAGUAGGGCAUCACCAUUGUACUCAGCAUGUACUGACCCUUGCAAUUUUCCUAAAUUUGGGAAACUUGGCAGCAUAACUUGUGGUAGUGGCACUGCAUUCCAU